CCAGAGUGUUGUGACAGGAGGCUCCUCCGCAAAUGUGGGCGCUGAGGCAUUCGUUUUCAUCUGCAGGGAAAACAAGAAGCAGCAUGUGUGGCAGCAGCCAGAGAUUUCUAUUGAGGACACUGGAUCUACCAUUUGCUGCUGGCCAGCUGGCCCUCAGGUAGGUUCUCAGAAAGCUGAAGAAAGUGAGGCUCAGAAAGCCCUUCCAAGAUCUCACAGCCAGCAGCAGCGGGGCAGAAAUUCACAGCCAGUGAGGAUGAGAUGUGCAAUAAAGAGCAAGAGAAACCGUGGGCACCAAGCUCCAUGUCCAACAAAGAAUGAUGAAGCAAGCGUAUUAACUUCAGUGGAGAGAACACCUCUGGGCUGAUGUCUUCUUGCCCCUCCAUGUCCAUCCUCUACCUUCUCCACCAGCUCUUGGCCCCAGUGUCCAGCCAGGAGAUGACCUUCACAAGACUCAAGCAGAAUCUCCAGGAAACUAGUUCAUGGCCUGGUCACCUCUACUAUCCUCAGACUGAAGGUAGGAGGAGGAGGAUAAGGUACAGGAGUGACAUACCUUUCCUCUCUCAAGUUUUUUCACAUAGCUCCAGUGUUAUUAAAGGGACCUACAUAAUGAGAACAGACAGGCUCAUAAACUGGGUACUGAAUCAACAAAGUUCACUCUGGAAGUUCUGUGAACCAUGUCAGAAACUGGGGAUUAAAUCCACGACCUCCCUGAGCUGAUAAUGAACUGACAUUUUUACCAAAACCAGAUAGCUAGCCAGAGACUUGUGCAGUCUAAACUUCUAAAGCACAGGGGCCACUUCAGUCAACCCUGGGUGACACUGCAAAACUGUGUCUUGUGCGGAAUCAAACUAGAUGAGAGAGAUGAUUUUGAUAAAUGAAAACACACCAAAAUGACCUCCUCUGCAUGAAAGAGAACCAUUGCAAGGCCGAGCCUGCACCCAGGAAGCAGUAAUUCUUUGAGUUUUUGCUACGGAGGGCUCUGUACUUAAUAGUGUGUCAAUUAGAAAAGGCUACCAAAGCACCAAGCGUGCACUGGCACUCCAGAUGCUUGGAAUGAAAAAAACAAGUGAAUGUGACACUUGAAAGGCAGC